UGACCUCUGUCAUGUUCGCAAUGGAGAUUAUUCUCGAACCGACUCCUUUAGUAACGGGGACCAAAAACCGUUGUUCCAGAGCCGUGUCCCGCUUCGGCGGAACUAGUACUUUUGGCCGACGGUGCGGUUCCCACCUGGGCCCAAGGGUUCAGAAUCCCGUCUUCCAUGCGGCAUUGCGAUGGAGGUCUU
rnacentral:other from 1 species